AUGUUGCCCGAGAUCCGCGAAGAGGGCGGCGGCGCGGGCACGAGCGCGACCAAGGCGAUGUCGGUGUCGCUGAGCGGGAAGCGGGGCCGGUACGUGCGGCAGGUGACGGGCCGCCACAACGACACCGACCUGCACGUGGCGGCGCGGGCCGGGGACGCCGCGGCGCUGCGCCGCGCGCUGGACGAGGCGGCGGUGGUCGUGGCGGUUGGGGAGGGAGGGGAGCAGCUGGAGGCGGUGCGCCGCGCCGUGGCCGCGGAGGCCAACGAGGCCGGGGAGACGCCGCUCCUGGCCGCCGCGGAGAGGGGGCACCUGGAGGUGGUGGUCGAGCUGCUCCGGCACCUCGACGCCCAGGGCGUCGCCGCGAAGAACAGGUCGGGGUACGACGCGCUGCACGUCGCGGCCAGAGAAGGGCAUCAUGCUGUUCUGCAGGAAAUGUUACGUCACGAUAGGAUGUUUGCCAAAACAUUUGGCCCUGCAAAUACUACCCCGCUUAUAUCAGCAGCUACAAGGGGACAUGCUGAAGUUGUCAAAUUGUUACUUGAACAAGAUGAUUUUGGAUUGGGAGAAAUGGCCAAAGAUAAUGGCAAAAAUGCUUUACAUUUUGCUGCUCGACAGGGACAUAUGGAAAUUGUUAAAGCAUUACUUGAGAAAGAUCCACAGCUAGCAAGACGAAAUGACAAGAAAGGUCAAACGGCACUGCAUAUGGCUGUGAAAGGAACUAACUGUGAUGUUCUUAGAGCACUUGUCGAUGCUGAUCCAGCAAUUGUAAUGCUGCCAGACAAAAAUGGAAACACUGCCCUGCAUGUAGCAACAAGGAAAAAGCGGGCAGAGAUAGUUAUUGUUCUUUUGCGGCUACCAGAUACCCAUGUCAAUGCACUGAACAGAGAUCACAAGACUGCUUUUGAUAUAGCUGAAGGGUUGCCACAUUGUGAGGAGUCGUCUGAAAUUAAGGAUAUUUUAUCUCAACAUGGCGCUCUCAGAUCUAGAGAGCUAAAUCAGCCUCGGGAUGAGCUCCGGAAGACAGUGACAGAGAUCAAGAAAGAUGUCCACACACAGCUCGAACAGACAAGAAAAACUAACAAAAAUGUGCAUGGCAUUGCUAAGGAACUCAGAAAGUUGCACAGAGAAGGCAUCAAUAAUGCAACGAACUCUGUAACUGUUGUUGCUGUGCUUUUUGCUACUGUUGCUUUCGCAGCUAUAUUCACUGUACCUGGUGGAAAUGAAAACAAUGGAGUUGCGAUUGUUGUCCAGACUGCUUCCUUUAGGAUAUUCUUCAUCUUUAAUGCCAUAGCUCUGUUCACAUCAUUGGCGGUGGUCGUGGUUCAAAUAACAGUUGUCAGGGGAGAAACCAAGUCUGAGCGAAAGGUUGUUGAGGUGAUCAACAAGCUUAUGUGGCUGGCAUCAGUUUGCACAACCAUUUCUUUCAUUGCCUCAUGCUAUAUUGUGCUAGGCCGCCAUUUCCAAUGGGCAGCAAUACUGGUUAGUUUGAUAGGUGGUGUUACAAUGACUGGUGUUCUUGGAACAAUGACGUACUUUGUGGUGAAAUCAAAGCGCAUGAGGAAGAUUAGAAAAAAAGAGAAGAUGUCAAGAAGAAGCGGCUCAAGCUCCUGGGUUGAUAAUACGGAAAUCUCAGAGACUGAGCUUAAUCAAGUGUAUGCCUUGUAA
rnacentral:rRNA from 1 species